AAAAAGGCAAACCUUAAAUUUCCAUAUACUUUGACUGUCCGUCUUAUAUGAAAUUUUUUUAUAAUUUGUAUUUUCAUUGUUGUUAGAUGAUAAAACAUGAUUAAUAUUUUAUGCGUGACUUGUCUUUAUAAUUUUUUUUAUAAUUUUUUUAAAUAAGAUGGACGGUCAAACGUUGGAUACGGAAAUCAGGGUUUGUCUUUUU
rfam:Oryza nivara chromosome 3, whole genome shotgun sequence.